GGCGGGGCCGCAGUCCGCGCACGCGCAGGCGCACUAAGCUGUGAGGCGCUCGGGACGAAUGAACUCCCUAAAGAAGGUGCAGAGUGGCGGCGAGUCCUUUAGUUUAAUGCCAAACUUGAACUUCCUAAGUUUUCUCUUCCAUCCCUGUCUGUGAAGAAUCCGGGGAGUGUGGAAACCAUAGGUCAGCUCUACUGAAUGAAAUGGUUCAUGGACCUCAUUGGCUAAUCAACUGAAGCAGAAGGAGUGAAAAAAGAACAAAGAAAUCUGUGACUGGUUGUGAUCAAUUAGUAAACUUACUUUUUUAGAUUAAAAUGAAAUAAUACAUGCAAAGCCCUUGCACAGUGGCUUGCACAUAACACAUUUCGGGGUUAAGUUGUGCUAGUUAUUCCGUUAUUGAUUGUCUUGCCCUUUGUCCUCUGGAAGGUUGGAUCUUGCCAUUUGGGUAUGGCCAAUGGGAAGGCUGAGCAAGACAUCAGAGGGUGGGAGGAAAGGAGGUAUAUUUAUUUUCCUUACUCCUUCUCUGCUAGGCUUCAAUUUUGUCACUAGCUGCAUUCCUUUUUAUGACCACAACUCCAGUCUAAUGGCCACCCUCCCAUAGCUAGAGUUCAUAACAGACUAACACUGCCACCUCCUCAGGCCUAGGAAUGGUCAUGGUUUUUCUUCUCACUGUUGCUUCAGGUUCUUUUUUCCCACCGUUGCUUGCGCUAGAUGUUCCACCCUCUUUUCUUGUUCCUUUAAGGCCUCUCUAAACUGUCACUUUAUGAAACUGUCUUCAGUUAAAUUCUUUAUAUGUGGCAUUAGUUUAUGCUGAGACUUUGAUGUACAUAAAACAACAAUACUUUGUUUGGACAUCAGGAAGGACAUCUUUUUGAUGAAUCAUUUUAGUAAAUGUUGUAAGGAGCUAAUAUGAGACAUUCUAAAUCAAAUGGGAAGUUUAUUGAGAUGCUGGUGGUUUGUUGUUCUGAUGAUGUAAAUCCAGCUUUGAAGGCUGUAGAGUUUGUUUAGAUGGCAGAUGGUUGUAGGAAGGAAAGGUGGAGUUCUUUUCUUGAUGCAUAAAACAAGAUCAUAUCUUCAGUGGCAAAGUGAACAUGAGGAUUAUGGAGAAAGUAAAUAAAGGUGAUUGGCUAUAAUGGACACUUUAUGCUUAAGGGUUGUAGUAGGCAGAAUAAUGGUCUCCCAAAGAUAUCCAUGACCUAAUGCCUGGAACUUGUGAAUAUGUUAUCUUAGAUGGUAAAAGGGACUUGGAAGAUGUAAUUAAAUUAAAGAUCUUGAGAUGAUGAGAUUAUUCUGUUAGGCGCAUUGUAAUUACAAAGGAUCCUUAGGAAGGUAGUAGGGUCAGAGUCAGAGAAAGAGAUAUGAUGAUAAAGCAGAAUCACAGGGGAAGAGCUGAAGAUUCUACUCUGCUGGGUUGAAGAUGGAGAAAGGGGCCACAGGCCAAGAAUGCAGGUGGUGGCCAGAGGCUGAUGAAAACAGAGAAACUGACUUUCCCCUAGAACCUCCAGAAGAAAUGCAGCCCUAGUGACAUCUUGAUUCUAGCCCAGUGAGAUUUCUGACCUACAGAAUUGUACAAUAGUAAAUUUAUGUUGUUUUAAGGUGGUGAUCUGUGGCAAGUUGUUACAAGAGCAAUAAGAAACUGACAUAGGAGAUAGAGAAAGCGUGUUGGAUUAGGGCAGUCAGUUGAGAAUUUUGGAUAUUAUCUUAAAGCCAACAAAGAACCACCAAAGAUUUUUUACUAAAAACAGAUAUAAUGAAAAUGAUGUAUUAGGAGGGUAGACUAGAAGUUGGGUUCAGACUGAAGACAGAAAGAUAAGCUCUACAGUGGUGUGCAUGGAUAAGUACGGUGAUUAGUACCCAGGUUACAAAUGGACUCUGUUAAUUGAUAAGAAGUUUCCAAAUCUGAAAGAGAUUGCUAAAGAAGAGCCUACAGAAUAUAAUGACUGAUGGGGAAUCAGCAAAGGAAAGCAGUCCAAUUUCAGAUGCCUCAUGUGUUGUGAAAUGGGCAUAAAACACACAAGGGUUCUAAAUAUUUUAAGUCUCUUCCUGGAUUCACCAAUGUAUAUUUCACCAACAUAUAUAUGAAAUUGUAACUUGCUAAACUUCUCUGUUACAUCAAGUUUCACUCUUGUCUUUUUAGAGGAUAUGCAAACCUCAUUUCAUCAUUUCUACUCUAGAGACUGCUUAUUUGGUAGAAUGAAAUAGGUACAACUCAAAUAGUUAGUAAACUACUGUAUUCAGAUUUUGCACAAAAACAACAAAAUACAAUCUAAAAACAAUUCAGUUGGAGAAGACUCAUAGGUUAAGUAUGUGUAAAGAGUAGUGGCAGUAGCUGGUAAGUUAAACUACUCACUGGCUAUAAUGCUGUUCAGCAGUUACCACUGUUUGGAUUAUUGGACAUUUCCUGAGUAGUGGGAAAUGUUUGGAUGAAAAGCCAGUAGCUCAUUAUUAACUCUCUUUACAUCACCUGCCUUCUG